CGCACGGGUGAGUAACACGUAAGUAAUCUACCUUCGAGUGGGGAAUAACGUCCGGAAACGGACGCUAAUACCGCAUAAUGCAGCGGCACCAAAUGGUGACAGUUGUUAAAGGAGCAAUUCGCUUGAAGAGGAGCUUGCGGCAGAUUAGCUAGUUGGUAAGGUAACGGCUUACCAAGGCUACGAUCUGUAACCGGUCUAAGAGGACGGUCGGUCACACUGACACUGAAUAACGGGUCAG
rnacentral:rRNA from 1 species